rnacentral:rRNA from 1 species
CUACGGGUGGCAGCAGUGGAGAAUAUUGGACAAUGGGGGAAACCCUGAUCCAGCAAUGCCGCGUGUGUGAAGAAGGCCUGCGGGUUGUAAAGCACUUUCGGUUGGGAGGACUGCUUCUAGCACUAAUAUUGUUGGAAGUUGACGUUACCUUCAGAAGAAGCACCGGCUAACUCCGUGCCAGCAGCCGCGGUAAUACGGAGGGUGCAAGUGUUAAUCGGAAUUACUGGGCGUAAAGCGCGCGUAGGCGGCUAGAUCAGUCGGGUGUGAAAGCCCCGGGCUUAACCUGGGAACUGCAUCCGAUACUGUCUAGCUUGAGUACAGGAGAGGAGAGUGGAAUUCCACAUGUAGCGGUGAAAUGCGUAGAUAUGUGGAGGAACACCAAUGGCGAAGGCAGCUCUCUGGCCUGAUACUGACGCUGAGGUGCGAAAGCGUGGGGAGCAAACAGGAUUAGAUACCCGGGUAGUC